rnacentral:misc_RNA from 1 species
GAUGAAGAACGUAGCGAAAUGCGAUAAGUAGUGUGAAUUGCAGAAUUCAGUGAAUCAUCGAAUCUUUGAACGCACAUUGCGCCCCUUGGUAUUCCAUGGGGCAUGCCUGUUCGAGCGUCAUUUGUACCUUCAAGCUUUGCUUGGUGUUGGGUGUUUGUCUCGCCUUUGCGUGUAGACUCGCCUUAAAAUAAUUGGCAGCCGGCGUAUUGAUUUCGGAGCGCAGUACAUCUCGCGCUUUGCACUCAUAACGACAGCGUCCAAAAGUACAUUUUACACUCUUGACCUGAUCAGGUAGGGAUACCCGCUGAACUUAAGCAUAUCAAUAAGCGGAGGA